ACACGUAAGGGGCGAGCGUUGUUCGGAAUUAUUGGGCGUAAAGGGCGCGUAGGCGGUUUUACAAGUCUGGUGUGAAAUACCUCAGCUUAACUGAGGGACCGCGCUGGAAACUGUAAGACUAGAAUCUAGGAGGGGAAGCUGGAAUUCCUGGUGUAGGGGUGAAAUCUGUAGAUAUCAGGAAGAACACCGGUGGCGAAGGCGAGCUUCUGGCCAUAGAUUGACGCUGAGGCGCGAAAGCGUGGGGAGCGAACAGGAUUAGAAACCCCAGUAGUCC
rnacentral:rRNA from 1 species